rnacentral:lncRNA from 1 species
UGAAUUGGCAGUGAUCUGAUUAAUGAUAUGAUAAGCAGAUGCUACUGUGGCUGAAAAGUACUUAAAUCUUCCAUUGAAUGAUUCAGACCUCCUGACUCGAUUUGGUGCAUGUUAAUUGAUAGGACUAAAUCUUACAACCUGCUAUAGGUAAUCAGAGGGUACCUUCAUGGCUUCCUUAUGUGGAAACUAGGAUGCAUGAAGAAACCAAGAGUGAGCUUCUAGCCUCUGGUCAGCCAACAUGAGUAAAGAAUUUCACUUAUCACAGGGAGCAGUAGCACACACCUGUAAUCCCAGCUAGUCAGGAGACUAAGGCAGGAGAAUAUUAAAUUUGAGACGAGCCUGGACAACUUAGCCAGUCUCUGUCUCAAAAUAAAAAGUGCUGCAGAUGAGGCUUAGUAGUAGACCCCCUGCCUAUCAUGCUUGAACCCCUAGGUUCCAUCCCCAGCACCACAAAAGUAAAAUAAAAAUAAUUUACUUAUCUCCGCCCUUAGCAUAACAGAAACAAUCUUCUAGGCAGAUCCUAUUUUCUAUGCUUCUUAGAGUUUUUGUCCUGUUUCAUAAUUACCUAAAAAUAUGGAGAAAAUAUUUUGUUGUUUUGAAAAUAGGUAUGGAAUUUCUGACAUCAUCAGUUUUCAUGACUUUUUGAGUGUUGCAGUGAUCUGUGACUUACUGAAUAAUAGUGUAGUUUUAUGGGUUGGUACACCAGCCUGUGUAGGACCACUUUUAAGACCCAUGGUCCAGUGAGGCUAGGAUACAAGGUUUAUCACCAGUGGCAUUUACUACGUAUCCUUUAGAAUCAGGCACUGUGUUAGCUAGCAAGUUGGGAUCCAAGUAAGGAGCAGUUUAGUAAGCAGGAAGGUGUCUACUCAAGUUACCUGUUCGGUGACAUCUGUUAUUUGAGCCAUACACCAGUGGAACAGAAAGUAAAUGCUGAAAGGUAGAGGAUAAGAAGUAGAUUACUAUACACUUUUGAGAGAGUGAAUCCUGAAAAGAGAGAAAGAACAAAGAGAAAUAGAAAAGAUCAGUGAAGAAGCACUUCACAAUGGUUAUCCCAGGAAUGGGGAUGCCACCUUGCCAUCUCUGGGCUGGAAGGAUGGGCAAGAGUGAUGGGAACUGGAUGUCGAGCUUUUGGGUGUCUUUUCAUGCUUAGUCCUUACAGCUACCCUUGAAGAUGUGAAUAUCACCUCAUAGAUGAAGAGACUGACUCACUAAGGUCCUCCCAGAUUUGGAAAAGGUAGCAAGAUUUGAACCCACAUUUGUCAGACCCCCAAAGCCUGUGAUCUUGAAUACCACAUUGCACAAAGGAGCUACUGAGAGUUCAAGCUUAUGGAAGGGUGUGGAUAUGAAAAGUUAUUUGUCAGUUUGACAUAUUUGUGGUAGGCAUACAAGGGUUGUUACCACUUCUACAUUUUUCAGUAUCCUGCUCUGCUAGAGACAUGUACUUCUGCAGUCAUGAGACAUGUACUUCUGCAGUCAUGAGACAUGUACUUCUGCAGUCAUUUGAUGUGACUUAAGUAAAUCCAUCCAUCCAUUGAUUCACUGAAUAAAUAUUUAUCAGUGGCCUCCUUUGCAUCAGGCACUGUUGUAGGAGCAGGGUACAUGGUGAAAGUCAAAACCAACAUAGAUCUCAUCCUCAUGGAGCUUAUACUUGAGUGAAUAGAUCUCAGCAUGUUCUCUAGUCAUAGGUCCCAGGUUCUCUGUGAGCUUUUCUUAAGGGAUUCAGACAAGUUUCCUCCUUGACUGUUGUAUAGCUCAUAAUCCCAGAGUGCCUUGUUGCCUUACUGUUAGUGUACUCUAGGCAGUGUAUGGCAUAUUUUGUGGCAAUGGCGACAGUCCCUAUUUUUUUUAUUAGAAUUUCUUCAAGGUAUUUGUUUGGCUACUGAUGGAAUCUUCAGCAUGCUUUUUCCAAAGGGUCUGGUGUCCUACCCAGUUCUCACCUCACUAUGACAUAAUGCUGGAAUUGCCUAUAGAAUUAUUUUUCUUCCUUCACAAAAUUGAAAGUUGGCUGGGGACAAAGGCUAUGUCCUGCUCAUUUUUAAACCAACAUUAACAAGAACAAAAGAUAAUGGGGUAAAAAGAGCUUAUUUGCAGAAGAUGCAGACUCAGUUAUCACUGUUGUAUGCAGUAGUGUAUGAGGUAUCAUUUCACCUUUAAACAACCUAUUCAGCUAGAUUCUGUUACUGUGGAACCAAGCAAAAUGAGCCUAAAGAGUGUCAACUCUUGUCCUGAGUCACACUACUGUUGGUUUGGGAAUGCAAACUAGACUCUUCAGUCAAAUUCAAGAAGUAUCUGCCCUGAAGAAAAUUAACAGAAAUUAAAAGUAUCUCCUACUUAAAAAUGAAAACAACUAACCAUAAGUAUAUGUGUGAUUAUUAUUUUCUUCUUAAUUUUGUUCUCCCAGAGUGACAAAGCAUAAAGCAGUUGAGAAGAAUAUGAGCCAAGCAGCAUUGUUCACUGUUAGCUGGCAUGAAAAUUGGUACAACCAUUCUAACAAACAAUUUGGCAAUAUGUAGCAAAACUUUUACUCAGCAAUGUGUUUUUGGAUUGAUCUCAAUAAAAAUUACACAGCUGUGUAAACACGAGCCCAAAGAUGUACUUUGUGGUGCCUAUGACAUUAAAACAUUGGAAAUAACCUAAAUAUCCACAGUAGAAGAUGGGUUAAAUAAAUUGCAACACAUAUAUGCAAUUAAAUUGUAUGCAACUGCCAUUAAAAUUACUUAGAUUUAUAUUUAUUGCUAUGAAAAUCUGUUUAUGAAAUAUUAUUGAGUGGAAAAGCAGACUACAGAACGGCAUGUUUAAUAUAAGCCUACUUAAUAUUGGAUGUUUUAACAUAAUAUAUGUUUAUGUUUCAUAGAGAGCCCUUUGCCAAAUGUUAAUGAUUUUUCUUUUCUGGGCUACAGUAUUUAAUCUUUAUUUAGAUCUUUAUGUAUUUGAACAUUUUAUAAUGUGUAUCAUUUUAUUAUCUGAAAAGAAUAAAGCCAUUUUUAUUUUGGAAAA